GUAAUCGCAAUGCCUGGAUAAUAUCAGGCAGAGCUUCAGAUAUAAUGAAGGUUUGCAGUGACUGACACAGCUGGAAGCAUGUCUUUCACUUUUUUCUGAAGCUCGGGAUCAAUCCUUUCUUCUUUAUCUUCCCUAUUUCCCCUUUGAACUUAGCAUUGAUUGGAAAACAUGAAAAUCGAUAGGUAGAUGCUUAGAUACUACCAUGGGAAAGCACCACCAUGAAGCAAAGCUUACCCUGUUGGCAAGUAAAGUUUUUUUUUUUUUUUGCUUUCUUUAAUUUAUUCAGAGAGAAAAAAUGAAAUUUAUCCUCUUAUUUUCAUAUUAACUCUCCCUCAUACAUCACACACACACACACACACAUGUGCGCGCACACAUAACUAGAGGACUUUGAUCUAGCAUGUAUAGUCAUUUCUGAUGUCUGAAAGAUGACAGUGACCAAUGAAGCAACAUUGAAUUUGGCCAGCCUUUGAAACCUAUCGAUUUCAAAUUAGAGCAGCAGUAUUCAUUCUAUUAGUGCAGUCACACUCAAAACUUGGUCUCUAAUAUGGAUUAAAGGUGUUCAAUUAGAAGUUUAUAAAUUUGUUGUUCAGUCGCUAAGUCAUGUCUGACUCUUUGGGACACCAUGAACUGCAACAAGCCAGGCUUCCUUGUCCUUCACUAUCUCUCAGAGUUUGCUCAAACUCAUAUCCACUGAGUUGGUGAUGCCAUCCAACCAUAUCAUCCCCUGUCGCCCCCUUCUCCUGCCCUCAAUCUUUCCCAACAUCAGGGUCUUUUUAUAAGUAUACCCUUGAAAAAUGUACUAGGAAAAUGAUGCUCCUGGAAGAAACAGUGUGGGAGGUGAGAGUGAUUUCCCAGCGAUUGCUUCGGCCGGUACAACCAGAGAACAGGAUUCUUUUCUUUUUGGCUGCUAAAUGCCUCUGUAUUCCACACUUUCCAGUGAGGGGAGAAGGCUGGAGCUUCUUGGAUGAUGAUGGAUAUUCCGCUGGGCAGGAUGAGGGCAGAGUGUGUGACAUCAACAGCACAAGGGUAAGAGCUGCCUGUCUGGUGUUUUCUCUGAUGCCAGCAUUUACCAAAGGAAGGGGAGAAAAACCUAGUGACAGAAAUGAGGGUUAAGCAUCUGGGAGACUCUUCUGUUUGUAAACAUCCAUGGGGCAGUUGGGGUAGAUGACUGAGGAAGGAAG
rnacentral:lncRNA from 1 species